ACUUUUGUCAGCAAAGUGAUGUCUCCGCUUUUUAACAUGCUAUCUGGGUUUGUCAUAGCUUUUCUUCCAAGGGGCAAGCGUCUUUUAAUUUUUUGACUGCAGUCACCAUCCACAGUGAUUUUGGAGUCUAAAAAAAACAAAAUCUGUCACUCCUUCCACUUUUUCCUCAUCUAUUUGCCAUGAAGUGAUGGGAUCAGAUGUAUUACCUUACUAGCAUAUGGAAGGAGUCCAACUGUGCAGGAGUUUGAACAUUCUCUGGCAUUGCCCUUCUUUGGGACUGGAAUGAAAACUNNCCUUUUCCAGUCCUGUGGCCACUGCUGAGUUUCCCAAAUGUGCUGGCAUACUGAGUGCAGCAUAUUCACAGCAUCUUUUUCAGAAUCUGAAAUAGCUCAGCUGGAAUUCCAUCGCCUCCACUACCUUUGCUCGUGGUGAUGCAUGUGGCUUUCUUGAUAAUGCUCUUCUUCUAGCUUUUAUUCAUCUCAAGAACAACCACUCAACGAUUAAGACUUCACUCGAACAUCAUUUGUCUAAAAGCCUAUCUAACUCUCCGAAGGCAUUAAUUCUAACUCCCCAGGUACUCUUUGAUACACACAAUGUGCUUUCAGGGACGACAACCAGACUGUGNNNNNNNNNNNNNNNNNNNNNNNNNNNNNNNNNNNNNNNNNNNNNNNNNNNNGGGGUCGCACAGAGUCGGACACAACUGAAGCGACUCAGCAGCAGGAGCAGCAGCUGGAGAGUUUACUAAAAUUUACAUUGUUAGGCCCGGCCCCCAGAGUGUUGAUUCAGCAGGACUGAGUGAAGGCCCAGGAAUGUGCAUUUCUAACAAGCCCAGAUGGUGAUGCUGCUGCUCAUCUGAGGACCACACUGUGAGAGCGGCUGAGUCAGCACUAUGAGACCCCUUGAUGGUGGGGCCUAUGAUUUAUUCACCCAUGCAUCUCAAAGGCUCAAACACAGUCCCUGGUACGUAGCCGUGUUCGGAACUGGAGGGCAUAGCAACCCACUCCAGUGUUCUUGCCUGGAAAAUCCCAUGGACAGAGGAGCUCCAGUCCAUUGGGUCACACUGAGUCGGACACGACUGAAGCAAGUCAGCACACACGCAACCUUAUUUAUUUUACUUUUUUAAAUAAAGAAAACCCUGAUACAGAGAACAAACUAGUGGGGAGAAGGAAGCAGGGAGGGGCAACAUAGGGAUAAGGGAGUAAAAGGGACAAACAAUUAUUAAGUAUUAAGUUAUAAGGAUGCACUGUACAACACAGGAAACAUAGCCAACAUUUGAUAAUAAGUGGGAUAUACUCUCUGUGAAUUGUGAAUUGCUAUACUGUACACCUGUGACUCAUAUAUAAAUAACAUGAAACUUAUAUCAAUGAAAUAUCAAUGAAACUUCGACAAAAAUAAAGAAAUAAAAUACACCUUUCCCCUACACGUGGCUAACCUCACUAACAUGCGAUCGGACAUGACGUGCAGUUGUUACAUAGAAUCUGAUGACUAUUUUCUUUGUUUAUACCUUUGUGAAAUCUAGAAACCUUAACAAAUACAAGGUGAAAAUGUGAAAAAUACAAGAUUUUUUUCCCCCAUACACACUCUUCGUGAAAAGCUCUCCACAUUUUACAUGACCACUGUAAUUUCUCUGUUACUCCAGGCAAUAGGAAAUAAAGCCAGAAACAGGAGGAGAUGGACAGAAGAUACUUGGCUACUCUUUGGCUCCCAAGUCUUCAGUGUUAAAAGACGAGAUCGUUUUCCCUUCAGGCCUGUUAACUCUCUCUCUCCUAUCCACACAAUGACAGGGUGGCCUGGCAGUGCUAAACCCAGGAGCAGUACCCGGGUCACCUGACCUUCAAGGCUUAUUCAUGACCUUCCUGGAACAGUGACCAUCACCUUCCCAGGCACACCCUCAAGCCAGUUGGUGAGAACGUUAUUGGAAUCCAGGCAGGAGAAGAAGCAAUUCCACAUGUCAAGGCUGGGAAGAUGUCCCAACACACAUGAUUUGGGAGGGCAGGGUGCAGGGAGAAAGAAUCUCCAGGGGAACAAGGGAAGCAAACACACAGAGGUAUUAAAAUACACAGCAUGUCCCAGCAACAGUGAGAGCCCAACAGCAGGAACAUAACGUGUGAUGGAGAUAUACCUGGAGGAGACUCUGGGGUCUGAAACACCACAUCACAAAGAUGGGUCUGUAACGUGGACACAGUAACUCCUGUCACAGGGGAGUGACAGUGAUCAGAUCUACAUGUUGGGCACCCAUUCUGGUGGCUGAAUGAAUGAUAAGGAGAUGCUAGCGUGGGGAGGGGGCUUCCUUGGCGGCCCAGUGGUUAAGACUCCGUGCUUCCACUACAAGGGGCACAGGUUCAAUUCCUGGUUGGGGACAUAAGAUCCCACAUGUCACAUGGCACAGUUAAAAAUGUUUUUCUCUUACUAAAAUAAUAAACAAAAAAGGAGGCGCUGGAGGAGAUGUGCUCUGUGUUGCUGAUACGCAGAGAAAUGUCAACUGAACCUGCAAAGGAAACAUGAAGCAAACUGCAAUUUAUAUACCAGCAUGCACGAUGGUGUGAUCACUCACCUAGAGCCAGACAUCCUGCAAUGUGAAGU
ensembl:lncRNA